rnacentral:rRNA from 1 species
CCGGAGUCAGGGAUAACGUAUGGAAACGUACGCUAAUACUUGAUGGUGUCGCAAGACUAAAGAUUUAUCGCUCCGGGAAGAGCCUGCGCAGUAUCAGCUAGUUGGUAGUGUAAUGGACUACCAAGGCUAUGACGCUUAGGGGAGGUGAGAGCCUGACCCCCACCGAUGGGACUGAGACACGGCCCAUACACCUACGGGUGGCUGCAGUCGAGAAUCUUCCGCAAUGGGCGAAAGCCUGACGGAGCGACGUCGCGUGAUUGAUGAAGUCCCACUGGGAUGUAAAAAUCUUUUAUAGAGGAGAAAUUCGGAUUUAUCCGGAGUGAUAGUACUCUAUGAAUAAGGGGUGCUAA